UCUGAGCAUAUAUAACUCUUCUUUACAGUGCCAGUCUGAGGACUAUUUGUAUAUAAUCAAUUGUUUCACCUGACUGGAAUGGUUUUAUGGAAAUUGACAUUAGAUGAGGGUUAAGUGUGGCACACAUUCAUUAAGUAACAAAGAACUAUUGGCUAUUCCAAACAGGAGAAAAGCUAUUAUUAUUAUUAUUAUUAUUAUGCAAUGUUGGGGUAUAUUUUACAGGGAAACUGCUUGCAAAAGUCUCUUUUAUGUCUCUCUUCAACCCCUGUCCCCAUCAUUCCAAUGGAACAAACGAUUUUCUAAUCACCAAACCCAGUGGCCUCUUUUCAAUCUAGAACAUGUCUGACAGCCUUAGAGCUUACUUAAUAACUUACACACAUAUUGGCUACUUUUCUCCUCUCUUGCUUCAGAGACUAUAUACUGUAUCUCCUCUGGACUAUUCCUGCUCCUGAGCUGUUUUCACUGGUUUUCCAGGUUCUUCUGCAUUACCACCACUGGCCAAAUUUAUUACCUUCUAUGAGCCUGUUUCUUCAUUUGUGAAAAACAUCUAGAAACAAUACUUGCUGACUUCUUUGCAGUGCUGUUGUGAGGAAAGUGAUUUGUAAAUCUUAAAGCGCUAUAAGAAGAACUACUUAUUCAGAAAAAAGAAGUUUCACCUUUAGUCUCAAGGCCUACUAAUUUGUAUCUCGGAUAACUUAAUUUCAUCAAUAAAUUAAUUUUAUUUCCAAAGUAAGCAUA